rnacentral:rRNA from 1 species
GACGAACGCUGGCGGCGUGCUUAACACAUGCAAGUCGAACGGAAAGGCCCUGCUUUUGUGGGGUGCUCGAGUGGCGAACGGGUGAGUAACACGUGAGUAACCUGCCCUUGACUUUGGGAUAACUUCAGGAAACUGGGGCUAAUACCGGAUAGGAGAUCCUGCUGCAUGGUGGGGGAUGGAAAGAUUCGGCGGUUGGGGAUGGACUCGCGGCUUAUCAGCUUGUUGGUGGGGUAGUGGCUUACCAAGGCUUUGACGGGUAGCCGGCCUGAGAGGGUGACCGGCCACAUUGGUACUGAGAUACGGCCCAGACUCCUACCGUAGGCAGCAGUGGGGAAUAUUGCACAAUGGGCCGAAGCCUGAUGCAGCAACGCCGCGUGCGGGAUGACGGCCUUCGGGUUGUAAACCGCUUUCGCCUUUGACGAAGCGUUAUUGACGGUAAUGGGUAAAGAAGCACCGGCUAACUACGUG